GGAAGGCAGCAGGCGCGUAAAUUACUGCAAGUUUACAGAACGAAGUAGUGACGAGAAAUAGCAGUGAGGUGCGCUGUGCGUAUCUCGACUGAAAUGAGAGCGAUUUAAAACCCCCAUCGAGGAUCAAUUGGAGGGCAAGUCUGGUGCCAGCAGCCGCGGUAAUUCCAGCUCCAAUAGCGUAUACUAAAGUUGUUGCAGUUAAAAAGCUCGUAGUCGAACGUAUGGUGUGUGUGCGUGUCCGUCGGUGGGUGAAUGCUUGCCGAACAGUGACACGUGCGCUGCCAGUCUGGCACGUCUUGUGACUUGCUUCUUUCACUGUAAAAAAAUUAGGGUGUUUCAAGCAAAGGUUGAUAUUGGAAUAUGAUAGUAUGGGAUGAUGAGAUAGGCCGUUGGCGGUAUUUUGUUGGUUUGCGCGUUGGCGGAAUGAUGAAGAGGGACAGUUGGGGGUAUUCGAAUUCUAGUGUCAGAGGUGAAAUUCUUGGAUUACUAGAAGGCGAACGACUGCGAAAGCAUUUACCAAGGAUGUUUUCAUUGAUCAAUA
rnacentral:rRNA from 1 species